rnacentral:rRNA from 1 species
GGGCGCAAGCCUGAUGCAGCCAUGCCGCGUGUGUGAAGAAGGCCUUAGGGUUGUAAAGCACUUUCAGCGAGGAGGAAGGCGUUGUAGUUAAUAGCUGCAACGAUUGACGUUACUCGCAGAAGAAGCACCGGCUAACUCCGUGCCAGCAGCCGCGGUAAUACGGAGGGUGCAAGCGUUAAUCGGAAUUACUGGGCGUAAAGCGCACGCAGGCGGUUUGUUAAGUCAGAUGUGAAAUCCCCGAGCUUAACUUGGGAACUGCAUUUGAAACUGGCAAGCUAGAGUCUUGUAGAGGGGGGUAGAAUUCCAGGUGUAGCGGUGAAAUGCGUAGAGAUCUGGAGGAAUACCGGUGGCGAAGGCGGCCCCCUGGACAAAGACUGACGCUCAGGUGCGAAAGCGUGGGGAGCAAACAGGAUUAGA